GCUCGCUUCCACAAUGCAUAUACUAAAAUUGGAAUGAUACAGAGAAGAUUAGCAUGGCCCCUGCCCAAGGAUAACAUGCAGAUUUGUGAAGUGUUCCAUAUUAAA